rnacentral:RNase_MRP_RNA from 1 species
GGAGCAGCAAGCAAGUUGCAUCAUAGCGUUCCAACGAGGGCCUUUGAGACUUCGCUGUGGCCGCCCGCUCUGUGCGUCGACCACGCAGUCUCCAAUAUGCUCUUUACAUGCUAUGGGGAAAGUCUCCGUGCCAUGGGGUCGAGAGGAUCGAUGAGAAAUUCGUGGACGCCUCUCAGCUACAGUCGCCUGAUGUGUAGUGCACGUCUCCUCUGUGACAGGCUUCGUGCCUGGAGAAGAGGCAGCGCGACGGCUGGAGGUUGAUUGCAGUUGCCGCUUACAUGCGGGCUCUUCCAAGGAUUGAGUUCAUGCGACUGGUGGGACAGUCUUCCUUCUUGAGGACGUUCCGCUAACAGAAUGGAGCUUAUGUCUUCGCUGUUC